rnacentral:rRNA from 1 species
GGGUCAGUAGGUUGGUCGUGCCACCGGUACGUACUGGUCUCACUGAUUCCUCCUUCCUGAAGAACCGUAAUGCCAUUAAUUUGGUGUUGCGGGGAAACAGGACUGUUACUUCGAAAAAAUUAGAGUGUUUAAAGCAAGCUAACGCUUGAAUACACUAGCAUGGAAUAAUGAAAUAGGACGAUCGAUCCUAUUUUGUUGGUUUCUAGGAUUGACGUA